GUGUCAGCAGCCGCGGUAAGACAGAGGGUGCAAGCGUUGUUCGGAAUUACUGGGCGUAAAGGGCGUGUAGGCGGUCAGGUAAGUCUAAUGUGAAAUCAUCUCGCUUAACGAGGUGCCCGCAUCGGAAACUGCUUGACUUGAGUAUAGGAGAGGUUAACGGAAUUCCUGGUGUAGCGGUGGAAUGUGUAGAUAUCAGGAGGAACACCUGUGGCGAAGGCGGUUAACUGGCCUAAUACUGACGCUGAGGCGCGAAAGCUAGGGGAGCAAACGGGAUUAGAUACCCCGGUAGUCCUAGCCGUAAACGUUGGAUACUAGGUGUGGGAGGUAUCGACCCCUCCCGUGCCGCAGCUAACGCAUUAAGUAUCCCGCCUGGGGAGUACGGUCGCAAGACUGAA
rnacentral:rRNA from 1 species